AUACAACAUCACAAUAAAAUUAGUAUGUUUUAUAUAUAUAUAUAUAUAUUAGAGAUGCACCGAUGUAUCGGCCAACAAUCGGUAUCGGCCGAUAAAAGUUAUUAUUAUCACUAUCGGCCAUCGGCCGAUUGUUUAAAGACUGCCGAUGAUCAGGGCCGAUUAUAUCCUUUCAAUCAAAAGGAUGCGGAAAAACGUGUUCAGAGUGCAACUCAUACAUACUGUGUAACGCAUUAACAGUUUAAAAAUAAUGACGAUAAAGCAGGCUCUUUUUGACCCUAUGAAUCACCCGUAGUUCAAGCCAGGGUUGCCAGGUCUGCGUAUUUAUUUUUAUUUUUGUAAGAAGUAUAAGAAGUAUCAGAAUGUAUACCAGAAUGUAUCACGUCUCAUGUAAUCACUUUAUUUGUGCUUCAACCGCGGAAAGACGUCAAUAAAACAACUUGUGAACCAUAUGUCACAUCAUGUCAAAUUUACCUCAGGAAUGUUUUCCAGUGUUCACAGUUCCUUAUCUAUCUAUCUAUCUAUCUAUCUAUCUAUAAAUAAAAUAAAUAAAUAAAUAAAAAAAACACUCUAUUUACUGUUAAUUAUGUUUGUGUAAAUUUGCCAUGAAGACAACAAUGCUUAUGAAAACUACCUAAUGUGAUACCAAGUUUUAUACAAACAUUUCAGUUUUUAUUUGAGUAUAAUUAUUAUAUCUGAAAAAUAAACAGCAGCUGAAUAUAAAACUUCUGUUGUUAAUUGUAACCACUAAUAAUGUAGUGUACAAAAUGAGAGGGUUCACCGUAUAGUUUGCAACAUAAUUUGGGACACGUCUUUCAAUAAACUGCAUGACGGUUGCACGCGCACGCAGCGCGCCCAGUGUAGUCAGCUAACAAAUGACUCUUAUGAACUGGUUCUUUGUGAGUCAAAAACACAGCGCAGCCAAAUUCACUUAUAAAUUGUUUUUACAUUUGUUCGUGAAACGGAAAAUUACUGCUUCUUGGCUAACUCAGAAGUCCUCUGUGAAAUGUAGUCCCAUCCGAAUAUGUCUGAGAUUAAUUUCGUAAUUUUUUGGUGAGCUGAUUCUCCGACCGCCCGCUCCACUUUCAUCAUGGAUAAAGGUCUUUUUGCCAUGUGACGAAACAAUAACACGAAAUCAAUAAGUAGAUCCCGAUCACAGAAACUAAUAGCAGAGUUAGGUACGAAUCUAAACGUAUUUUAGUUUUUUUCAAUUGCUAACACAUUUAGUGAUUCAGUUGGCCCAGUUUCCCAAACCAUUCGUUCAAUUCUCAAAACAAAGACACAUUUCUCAAAACGUUUAAAAUGACAACAUUAGAUAGCAAAACAGAUGACACACCAGUCAAAAUCUGAGAGAGAGCUUACAGUUUUUCCCAGCUGCUUAAACACUAUAACCAGGCUUUUGAACUAAAAUUUCAAAACCAUAACGCAAUUUAUCAAAAAGCACACCCAUUUCCCUAAACUAUAAACACUAUUCCCCUUUUUGACACAUGAGUCAGAUUUGUUGAACUGUCACUGCAAAACUCUACACACAAAUCCCUUCAUUUCUCAUUGCCUACACCAUGUUGUCAUUUAGAAAGCACUAGCAUUCAAUAUUGUUCACUCAAGUCAGCAUAGCUUGAGCUCAGUUAGCACACAGUUACCCACGUGGAAACACUAAGGGUCAAAAUUUAUCACAGACCAAUCAGAACCUUCAAUAGAUAUAUAAAAGAGCCAGAGUCAGUUCAUUCAGUUUUGGAAAAAUGGAUCCAGAGAGAUGUGAUUGAAAUGGUUGAGGACACCAGAGAGAAGGAGGAGGAGGAGGAGGAAGAGGAUGAGCAAGAGCAGUAAAAAGUGGAGGAAGAGGUGAAGGAGGAUUAAGAGGAGGAGGAUGAGGAUGAGGGGCAAGGAGACAAGGAGUCUCAGACGAAAUUUGUGCCACUAGUUGACCAUGUCCUUGUCGAUGGUAUGACUAUGAGGGAGGCUGGGCAAUGAGUUCAGCCAAACUUAAGUUGCUUCACCGUCGCCUCGAUCAUAAGAAUCUUCAGGGAGGAAAACAAGACGCAGAGACGAUAGAAUGGAAGAAGCCUGACUAGACUUUUCAGUUGAUGUGUGCCAGGGGUGGAUCAGGCAUGCAAGAGGAUUUUACCCCCGCUGCCUGGAUAGGGCCAGUACAGCCUGUGAUGUUGACGAGAUUCUCUGGCCUGUCCCAGACCAAAGAUAUGAUGCUGGGGCAGAAUAUUUUUUGUUGUUGUUUGGUGUAUUGUAUUGUACAGUACAUUAAGGAAUUAAAAAAUGUGCAAAUGUAUACAUGUGUUCAUCAUGUGAAAAGUUCUGUGAGGGGGAGAACCACAAGCACCACAACUUAUUACUGUUUUUGGUUUUUGUAGUAUUGUUUUGAAUUUAUCUCACCAGUGUGUAAGACUAUGUUGUAGUGUGUAUGUGUGUUUUUGAGGGCUUGUGUGUGAUGUCUGAGGGUAAAGUUUGUUUUUUCAGCAAGAGUGAAUGGUUUUGAGUGGAGAGCUUCAUUUUGACCUGAAAUUAGGAUGUUUGGGGAAUUGGGUGAGACAUUAUGGAUUUGUUUACUGUUUUGAGAAUAUGAGACAUAGUUUCAAGAAAUGUGUUUAAGCAAUCGAGAAACUGUAAAGAAUCAUUUAUGAGUGUUUUAAACUUACACAUACAGUAUAAUUACUGUACACAGUACCAGUACUUUAGAUGAGGGAAAUUUCACUAUUCUAUGUACAGUAAACUGGAGCACAUGUUGUAAAACCCUCAAA